GCUGGGCAUGGUGGCAUGUGCCUGUAGUCCCAGUUACUUGGGAGGCUGAAGCAGGAGGAACCCUUGAGCCCAAAAGUUCUGGGCUGUAGUGAGCUAUGCCAGUUGAGUGUCUGCACUAAGUUCAGCAUCAGUAUGGUAACCUCCUGUUAGCGGGGCCUACGGGGCUGGCAAAGGAGGGGUGAAUGGACCCAGGUCGGAAGCAGAGCAGGUCAUAACUCCGGUGCUGAUCAGUAGUUGGAUCGCCUGUGAAUAGCCACUGCACUCCAGCCUGGGCAACAUAGCAAGACCCUAUUG
rnacentral:SRP_RNA from 10 species